rnacentral:lncRNA from 1 species
AAAAUGCCAAAAGGCAAUCUUCAUUAAUAACAGUUAUUACAAAUGCAUUUUUGUGUACAUCAGGCUCUUUGGAAAUCAUUUACAGGGUCCAUAUUCUUGUUCACCUGAAUCAGUACUCUAACGUAUUAUAACUCCCAUGUCUCAGGUGGAGAGCUGAUGUCUAAGGAUCUUUCCAGAGAUGAUGGCAAUGAUACAUCUAACUGCUUACGAGGCCAUGGAACUCUGAGGAGCUGUGAGAAUAUGCCAGAGGUCUAAAUCAUCAAAAACUGAGGGAACAAAAGGAAUGCUCUUCUCUCUCCCUGGUACUUUGGUGGCCUAUUACCAUCUGGAGGUGGGAAGAGACUCUGUAUUAUGACUAAGUCUGGAC